UACGUAGGGUCCAAGCAUUAUCCGGAUUGACUGGGUGUAAAGAGUUGCGUAGGUGGAUGACUAAGUAGGUUGUGAAAUCUGGUGGCUCAACCAUUCAGACUAUUACCUAAACUGGUUAUCUCGAGAGCGUUAGGGGUAGCUGGAAUUUCUAGUGUAGGAGUGAAAUCCGUAGAUAUUAGAAAGAACACCGAUAGCGUAGGCAGGCUACUGGGACGUUUCUGACACUAAGGCACGAAAGCGUAGGGAGCAA
rnacentral:rRNA from 1 species